AGGGGGUAUGCAGCACCGCUGUGUGCUGUGCUCACUGUCCUGGGCUGUCACUCGUUGUUGACUGUCUCCCUCUGUAGAUCACGAGCUCCCGAAGCCUGGGUCUUUAUCUGUUCUCUGCUGCAUCUCCAGGGACCUCGGCUGUGCCUGGCACAUAGUUGGUCCUCCUGACAUAUGUGCAGAAGGAAUGAGUGAAGGCUCAGAGAUCUGCCUCUUAGGCUGUAGCGCAGGAGAUUGAGAACCCUUAAACAUCCCCGGUUCUAGACCGGAUGAUCUGACUCUGUCAUUUUGCAGACCUUCCUCCCGUUGCUUUCGCGGCUGGUUCUGAGGCUGCUGCCAUCUGUGGCCAAGUCUGCUUGUCAACAGCAGCGGCGCUGCAGAGGGGCUCGGACCCGCUGAUAGAAGCUCCUGUUCCAGCGGGUGCCUGGCUGAUGCCCUGUGAUGAUGUCACAGCCACAGAUCCUGAUGGCAGCCGUGAUGGUAACGGUCCCAGCUACCCCAGCCGUCUCGCUUGAUGGGGUGACCAAGGGCCCACAGAUUGCUCCUGAGUGCGCCUCUCUAGUGACAGAUGAUUCUGAAACCAGCCCGUCUGGUUUGAUCCGGAGAAGAAAACAACAACUAUAUGUAUUUUUCCUUUUUCCUUUUGGCGGAGAAGUUGCAGUCAUCUAGAAAUCAUUUCAAGGUCAUCCAAAUGCCUGAGGCCCUGCGGACACGGACUCCUGAGCAUCGUCUCCAUCCUUGAAGGACAAGGUUCCAUCUCUGCAUCUCCAGCACCAGCGCAGGGCCUGGCACGAGGCAGAGCUCAAAGCAGGGAGUGUCUGUUGACUGCCCAGGCGAGGUCAGACAGGAGCCGGCCCACUGGCCUGUAGGACGUCCCACAGAAUGGAAACACAUUGUGGUGUCAUGAGAGGAGCUUCGGGGGAACUGACCUGGUCCCUGGGCCAGGAUGCGGGGAUAAUGACAGACACAAAAGAAUCCCUCAAGGAGGUGACAUUUCAUCUGAGACAUGACAGUACUCCCACCAUGUGUGUCAUCUGCACCUCUGUGUGGAGUAGGAAGGUCUCAAGCUCAAGGUCCCUGGCGGGUAAACAACAAUCAAAACAAUUUCAAGUUCACGGACAUCCUCUGCAAUCAACAUCAACUGCUCCAUCAGGAAAACAGGACCUUGUAUUGCUGGUGAGUAGCAGGUAGUUCACGAGCUUGUCAGCAUGACCCACGGCCCCUGAUCUGUAUCAAUAUGAAAUAAGAACGCAUUUAAGAGGUGUCAGGAAAACACGUGCCCCCCCUCCCAUUUGACAUCGAUUCAUUCAUGUAUGAAACUGAGUCUUUGUGAUGGUGAAGCACUAAGGAUCCUGUGUGGUCAGAUUAAUAUCAUGGAACCAGAGGGUGGAAGCAGGUUAUUAAAUGUCCCCUACUUUGUCUUCCUUCCAACGGGCAGAAGAAAACAAACAGAAGGCUUAGAUGCAAAUGUGGAUUUAUGUCCAAGGAUUCACGAAAGCAGCAUAGACUGAGAAAGGGAAAGCAGGGUAGAUGUCCCAGAUAAUUCAGGUUAAAAAGACUUUUAUUGGAAGCAUCAUAGUCAUCCAGGUGCAGCUUGUAUCUAUAGAUUCUGCCAUAGGUUAUCCAUCCUUCUUGUAGAAGAACCUCAGGGUUCAUGCCAACAUUCAGUGGAAAUGUCGAAGCAUCAUUGAAAUUCCUUGAGCCAAGGGCAGGUGUUCAGGUCCCAGGCCUGCUACCACCUGUGGUUUCACUUCCCUGCCAGACUGCGGAAUUUUUCAAAC